UACGAGGGGGGCAAGCGUUGUUCGGAAUUAUUGGGCGUAAAGAGCUCGUAGGCGGCUUGUCACGUCGGAUGUGAAAGCCCGGGGCUUAACUCCGGGUCUGCAUUCGAUACGGGCUGGCUAGAGUGUGGUAGGGGAGAUCGGAAUUCCUGGUGUAGCGGUGAAAUGCGCAGAUAUCAGGAGGAACACCGGUGGCGAAGGCGGAUCUCUGGGCCAUUAUUGACGCUGAGGAGCGAAAGCGUGGGGAGCGAACAGG
rnacentral:rRNA from 1 species